CGUAGGUAAUCUACCCUAGAAUCUGGAAUAACCUGCCGAAAGGCGGGCUAAUACUGGAUAGAGCGAUGGAAUCCGUAAUUGGGUUUUUCGGGAAAGGGAGCUCGCAAGAGCCUUCGUUCUAGGAUGAGCCUGCGUCUCAUUAGCUAGUUGGUGGGGUAAUGGCCCACCAAGGCUUGGAUGGGUAGCUGGUCUGAGAGGAUGAUCAGCCACACUGGAACUGAAACACGGUCCAGACUCCUACGGGAGGCAGCAGUGGGGAAUCUUGCGCAAUGGACGAAAGUCUGACGCAGCCACGCCGCGUGAGUGAAGAAGGCCUUCGGGUUGUAAAGCUCUGUCGUGCGGGACGAACAUCUUAGGUGUUAACAGCAUCUAGGACUGACGGUACCGCAAAAGGAAGCACCGGCUAACUUCGUGCCAGCAGCCGCGGUAAUACGAGGGGUGCAAGCGUUGCUCGGAAUUAUUGGGCGUAAGGGGUAGGUAGGUGGUCUCAUUUGUUUGGGGUGAAAGCCUUGGGCUUAACCUAAGAAGUGCCCCAAAAACGGUGAGACUGGAGUCCUGGAGAGGGUCGUGGAAUUCCCGGUGUAGCGGUGAAAUGCGUAGAGAUCGGGAGGAACACCAGAGGCGAAAGCGGCGACCUGGACAGGUACUGACACUCAACUACGAAAGCGUGGGGAGCAAACAGGAUUAGAUACCCUGGUAGUCCACGCUGUAAACGAUGGGUACUAGGUUUGGCGGGUCUUGACCCCUGCUGAACCGGCGCUAACGCACUAAGUACCCCGCCUGGGAAGUACGGUCGCAAGACUAAAACUCA
rnacentral:rRNA from 1 species